rnacentral:rRNA from 1 species
AGAGCGAACGCUGGCGGCAGGCCUAACACAUGCAAGUCGAGCGCCCCGCAAGGGGAGCGGCAGACGGGAGAGUAACACGUGGGAACGUGCCCUUUGGUUCGGAACAACACAGGGAAACUUGUGCUAAUACCGGAUAAGCCCUUACGGGGAAAGAUUUAUUGCCAAAGGAUCGGCCCGCGUCUGAUUAGCUUGUUGGUGAGGUAACGGCUCACCAAGGCUACGAUCAGUAGCUGGUCUGAGAGGAUGAUCAGCCUCACUGGGACUGAGACACGGCCCAGACUCCUACGGGAGGCAGCAGUGGGGAAUAUUGGACAAUGGGCGCAAGCCUGAUCCAGCCAUGCCGCGUGGAUGAUGAAGGCCUUAGGGUUGUAAAGUCCUUUCGGCGGGGAAGAUAAUGACGGUACCCGCAGAAGAAGCCCGGCUAACUUCGUGCCAGCAGCCGC